rnacentral:tRNA from 1 species
AAUAGGGUCGACUAAUAGGUAGGUCAUCAGACUCAUAAUCUGAAGGUAUAGGUUCAAAUCCUAUCCCUACUA